rnacentral:rRNA from 1 species
CAGCAGUAGGGAAUAUUGCUCAAUGGGGGAAACCCUGAAGCAGCAACGCCGCGUGGAGGAUGAAGGUUUUAGGAUUGUAAACUCCUUUUGCUAGAGAAGAUAAUGACGGUAUCUAACGAAUAAGCACCGGCUAACUCCGUGCCAGCAGCCGCGGUAAUACGGAGGGUGCAAGCGUUACUCGGAAUCACUGGGCGUAAAGAGCGCGUAGGCGGGAUAGUCAGUCAGGUGUGAAAUCCUAUGGCUUAACCAUAGAACUGCAUUUGAAACUAUUAUUCUAGAGUGUGGGAGAGGUAGGUGGAAUUCUUGGUGUAGGGGUAAAAUCCGUAGAGAUCAAGAGGAAUACUCAUUGCGAAGGCGACCUGCUGGAACAUUACUGACGCUGAUUGCGCGAAAGCGUGGGGAGCAAACAGGAUUAGA